rnacentral:pre_miRNA from 1 species
UGGGUCUUUGCGGGCGAGAUGAGAAGCUAGUGUAUUCAACUGGCCUACAAAGUCCCAGU